AAGUAGCUGGAAUAUGCGUCAGGUAAAUUGAUCCCUGGGGCCAUACCAUUACUCUUGGGAGUUGCCUCUGUACAGAUUGCGGUCUGUUUAUUGCGACGCCCACCUGCUUAGCAGGUCACAGAGGAUAAUGAGACCAACGGUAUUCUGGCUACACC
rnacentral:other from 2 species